rnacentral:misc_RNA from 1 species
UUUCCGUAGGUGACCUGCGGAAGGAUCAUUAAAAAAUGAGACCUGAUUCAAGGUCUAUUAAUAAUCCUACCCUUUGUGAAUUUGUUUGUUUUAAUAUGUGUCCUUCCCUGUUUGGUUUGAAGCUUUGUUUAAAAGUUUCGAAACCUUCAGGGGAAUGGCAAAACUUUUUUUUAAAAUUAAACUUUUUGCAUUCAUUUGUCUAAAAUUAUUUUUUUAAUAUAAAAACAACUUUUGACAAUGGAUCUCUUGGUUCUCGCAACGAUGAAGAACGCAGCAAAAUGCGAUAAGUAGUGUGAAUUGCAGAAUACGUGAAUCAUCGAAUCUUCGAACGCAUAUUGCACUUUUUUGGUUUACCAAAAAGUAUGUCUGUUUGAGUAUCAGUAAAAUAUUCUCAUAAAAACUAUUUGUUUUUAUGGUUAUGAGUGUUUUACAACGAUAAACAAGUUGUUUCACUUUAAAUUCUUUGUCUUUUAAAAAAUCGUUAAAAACUGAUUUUUUUUUAAAAUUGGAUAAAAUUUUCCCGUAAAAAGGGAUAACCUAAACAAUUUUAAUUUAAAAUUGGUUUGAUUUCUUUUAAGACUUUAAAGGAAAAAAAGUAAAAAUUAACUUGAUCUCAAAUCAGAUAAGAGUACCCGCGAACUUAAGCAUAUCAAUAAGCGGAGGAAAAGAAACUAACUAGGAUUCCCUCAGUAACGGCGAGUGAAGCGGGAAGAGCUCAAAUUUGAAAUCUUCAAGGUUCUACCUUGACGAAUUGUAGUUUAAAGAAGUGUUUUCUGUUGGAGUUUUGGUAAAAGUUCUUUGGAAUAGGACAUCAUAGAGGGUGAGAAUCCCGUAUUUGACCAUUAUUUCCAACUUUGUGAUACACUUUCAAAGAGUCGGAUUGUUUGGGAAUGCAGUCCAAAAUGGGUGGUAAAUUUCAUCUAAAGCUAAAUACUGGCGAGAGACCGAUAGCGAACAAGUACCGUGAGGGAAAGAUGAAAAGAACUUUGAAAAGAGAGUUAAACAGUACGUGAAAUUGUCAAAAGGGAAGCGUUUGACACCAGUGUUGUUUUCUCGAAAAUCAAUUAAAAAUGGCGGGAUUUUGUGUUGUAUUGACUUUAUCAGCUUUCUGCACUUUUUUUCCUGUCUUUUUUAAUGCACUUUUCGUUUAACAAGUCAACAUCAAUUUCUUUUGUUGUAAAAGGGUCAUUGGAAGGUGGCUUUCUUUUCGGAGAAAGUGUUUAUAGCCUUUGACUCUGCAAUCGGAGAGAUUGAGGUCUGCAGCGUAGAUCCUUCGGGUUAGAUGCAUUUGUGCUAAGCUAUAGCCUUUCAUAGACAACUUGUUGACUAUGAUCAGUCAUGUAGCUUACUCGCUUAUGUCAUUUUACCUACGCUUAGGAUGUUG